CAAUAGCGUAUAUUAAAGUUGUUGCAGUUAAAAAGCUCGUAGUUGGAUUUGUGGUGUACUUUGGCGGCCCGUCACACUGUGAUGGAGCUUGCUGAAGUCGCCAUCCUUGGGUGGAUCCUGUGUGGCAUUAAGUUGUCGUGCAGGGGAUGCCCAUCGUUUACUGUGAAAAAAUUAGAGUGUUCAAAGCAGGCUUAUGCCGUUGAAUAUAUUAGCAUGGAAUAAUAAGAUAGGACCUUGGUACUAUUUUGUUGGUUUGCGCACCAAGGUAAUGAUUAAUAGGGACAGUUGGGGGUAUUCGUAUUUCAUUGUCAGAGGUGAAAUUCUUGGAUUUUUGAAAGACGAACUACUGCGAAAGCAUUUACCAAGGAUGUUUNCAUUA
rnacentral:rRNA from 1 species